UACAGAGGGGGCAAGCGUUGUUCGGAAUUACUGGGCGUAAAGGGCGCGUAGGCGGCCUGCUAAGUCGAACGUGAAAUCCCUGGGCUCAACCCAGGAACUGCGUCCGAUACUGGUUGGCUUGAAUCCGGGAGAGGGACGUGGAAUUCCAGGUGUAGCGGUGAAAUGCGUAGAUAUCAAGAGGAACACCUGAGGUGAAGACGGGUUGCUGGGCUGACACUGACGCUGAGGCGCGAAAGCUAGGGUAGCAAACGGG
rnacentral:rRNA from 1 species